UACGUAGGGUGCAAGCGUUGUCCGGAAUUAUUGGGCGUAAAGGGUGCGUAGGCGGUUUGGUAAGUCUUAUGUGAAAUCUACAGGCUCAACUUGUAGUCUGCAUGAGAAACUGCCGGGCUUGAGUAUGGGAGAGGUGAGUGGAAUUCCUGGUGUAGCGGUGAAAUGCGUAGAUAUCAGGAGGAACACCUGUGGCGAAAGCGGCUCACUGGACCAUAACUGACGCUGAUGCACGAAAGCUAGGGGAGCAAACAGG
rnacentral:rRNA from 1 species